UUUUCCAACAAGGGCAUCCAGCUUGUUUCAUAACAGACAACAGUGACGCUGAGCGUAAUGCCUUGAAGACUGUAUGGCCAGAAUCUCAGCGCUUUCUGUGCAUAUUCCACAUCCUGCAGCAGGUCUGGAGGUGGCUGUGUGAUGGUUCACAUGGCAUCAAGAAGGAAGAUCGCCGAGUACUAAUGACAGUGGCAAAGAAUCUGGUAUAUGCUGAUUCAGAUGAAACAUUUCAAGAUGAAUGGAAUUGCUUUUGUCAGACCCCAGAAGCCCAAAAGUAUAACCAGUACAUGAGGUAUCUGGCAAAGCUGAUAGAAAGGAAGGAAGAAUGGAGUACUGUGUACAGGGCUGGAUUUUUGCUACGUGGACACCACACAAAUAAUUUUGCAGAAUCUACCAUGUGCAUCAUUAAAGAUAUCAUUCUCAACAGAUGUAAAGCCUACAACACGACUCAACUGAUCAUGUUUAUGAAUGAAAUAUUUGAUGAAUAUAUGAAACAACGCCUCAUUGAUGUGUCUCUCUGUAGAAGGAAAGUAGUGAAGCCACCAACUGGGAUUUCCAUUAGUAAGGAAAGC